UACGAAGGGGGCUAGCGUUGCUCGGAAUUACUGGGCGUAAAGGGAGCGUAGGCGGAUAGUUAAGUCAGAGGUGAAAGCCCAGGGCUCAACCUUGGAAUUGCCUUUGAUACUGGCUAUCUUGAGUAUGGGAGAGGUAUGCGGAACUCCGAGUGUAGAGGUGAAAUUCGUAGAUAUUCGGAAGAACACCAGUGGCGAAGGCGGCAUACUGGCCCAUUACUGACGCUGAGGCUCGAAAGCGUGGGGAGCAAACAGG
rnacentral:rRNA from 1 species